rnacentral:rRNA from 1 species
CUAUACAUGCCAAGUCCGAGCGGACAGAAGGGAGCUUGCUCCCGGAUGUUAGCGGCGGACGGGUGAGUAACACGUGGGUAACCUGCCUGUAAGACUGGGAUAACUCCGGGAAACCGGAGCUAAUACCGGAUAGUUCCUUGAACCGCAUGGUUCAAGGAUGAAAGACGGUUUCGGCUGUCACUUACAGAUGGACCCGCGGCGCAUUAGCUAGUUGGUGAGGUAACGGCUCACCAAGGCGACGAUGCGUAGCCGACCUGAGAGGGUGAUCGGCCACACUGGGACUGAGACACGGCCCAGACUCCUACGGGAGGCAGCAGUAGGGAAUCUUCCGCAAUGGACGAAAGUCUGACGGAGCAACGCCGCGUGAGUGAUGAAGGUUUUCGGAUCGUAAAGCUCUGUUGUUAGGGAAGAACAAGUGCAAGAGUAACUGCUUGCACCUUGACGGUACCUAACCAGAAAGCCACGGCUAACUACGUGCCAGCAGCCGCGGUAAUACGUAGGUGGCAAGCGUUGUCCGGAAUUAUUGGGCGUAAAGGGCUCGCAGGCGGUUUCUUAAGUCUGAUGUGAAAGCCCCCGGCUCAACCGGGGAGGGUCAUUGGAAACUGGGAAACUUGAGUGCAGAAGAGGAGAGUGGAAUUCCACGUGUAGCGGUGAAAUGCGUAGAGAUGUGGAGGAACACCAGUGGCGAAGGCGACUCUCUGGUCUGUAACUGACGCUGAGGAGCGAAAGCGUGGGGAGCGAACAGGAUUAGUUUUGUUGUUUUUCAA